AUUGAACGCUGGCGGCAGGCCUAACACAUGCAAGUCGAACGAGUGGCGGACGGGUGAGUAAUGUCUGGGAAACUGCCCGAUGGAGGGGGAUAACUACUGGAAACGGUAGCUAAUACCGCAUACCAUCGGAUGUGCCCAGAUGGGAUUAGCUUGUCGGUGGGGUAACGGCUCACCUAGGCGACGAUCCCUAGCUGGUCUGAGAGGAUGACCAGCGACACUGAAACGGGGACACUGUGCAGACUCCGACGGGUGGCAGCAGUUGGGAAUAUGGCAGAGUGGGCGCACGCCUGAUGCAUCCAUGCCGCGUGUAUGAAGAAGGCCUUCGGGUUGUAAAGUACUUUCAGCGGGGAGUGGUUACCCGCAGAAGAAGCACCGGCUAACUCCGUGCCAGCAGCCGCGGUAAUAC
rnacentral:rRNA from 1 species